rnacentral:rRNA from 1 species
CCUACGGGAGGCAGCAGUGAGGAAUAUUGGUCAAUGGACGAGAGUCUGAACCAGCCAAGUAGCGUGAAGGAUGACUGCCCUAUGGGUUGUAAACUUCUUUUAUAUGGGAAUAAAACGUUCCACGUGUGGGAUUUUGUAUGUACCAUAUGAAUAAGGAUCGGCUAACUCCGUGCCAGCAGCCGCGGUAAUACGGAGGAUCCGAGCGUUAUCCGGAUUUAUUGGGUUUAAAGGGAGCGUAGGUGGGUUGUUAAGUCAGUUGUGAAAGUUUGCGGCUCAACCGUAAAAUUGCAGUUGAAACUGGCAGUCUUGAGUACAGUAGAGGUGGGCGGAAUUCGUGGUGUAGCGGUGAAAUGCUUAGAUAUCACGAAGAACUCCGAUUGCGAAGGCAGUUCACUGGACUGCAACUGACACUGAUGCUCGAAAGUGUGGGUAUCAAACAGGAUUAGAUACCCUUGUAGUC